CGGCUCUCCGGCUGCUGUUGUAUGGCUGCACGUUGGCGCUACCGGACGGGAUGCUGUAUCCCCGAGAGAGCCCGUCGUGGCAGCGCAAGCAGCUGGACGGCCUCUGAAGCUUCCGCGCCGACUUCUCCGACAACCGACGCCGGGGCUUCGAGGAGCAGAGGUACCGGCGACCGCUGUCGGAGGCGCGGACUCGGGGCAGGGCCAGGAGUCGCCCGGAAGCCCGGCGGUGGGAAUGGGGACUGGAUGGAGGACCUGAAGACGUGAGGUGGAGGCACAGGUAGAAGAGAAGAUUCUCACCAUCGCUGAUUCACACAAAAGCAUUUCUCCAAGUGGUUGCAGAUGACAUGAUUUCCCAAAGUGUUAGAGCUGAAGUGUGUUUCCUUGUGUAUAUAUACUGUGGUUCCUUUAUCCCUUCAUCUGUGGAUAGACAGGUGCAACCGUGUGGUUCCCCACGAUAUGAUUUCAUUGUGGUUUUCUGUCUGAAGAGUAUCCCAGUAUGUACCUGUGGAGCAGCUUCUUUAUCCCUUCAUCUGUGGAUAAGCAGGUCAUGUCCUCCAGGUUUCUGCACGUUGCUGCAGAUGACAUGAUUUCAUGAAUUUCU
rnacentral:lncRNA from 1 species